GUGCUUGUUUCCACAGCACAUAUUUUAAAAUUGGAUCAAUACAGAGCAGAUAAGCAUGGCUGCUGCACACAGGAUAACUUUUGAAUUCAGAAAGCAUUCAUAUUUUGU